UACGGAGGGGGCGAGCGUUAUUCGGAAUUAUUGGGCGUAAAGGGCGCGUAGGUGGCCUGAUAAGUCAAAGGUGAAAUCCCUCGGCUCAACUGAGGAACUGCCUUUGAAACUGUCAGGCUUGAGGCCGGGAGGGGGUAGCGGAAUUCCCAGUGUAGCGGUGAAAUGCGUAGAUACUGGGAGGAACACCGGUGGCGAAGGCGGCUACCUGGACCGGUUCUGACACUGAGGCGCGAAAGCGUGGGUAGCAAACAGG
rnacentral:rRNA from 1 species